rnacentral:rRNA from 1 species
GGCUCAGGGCGAACGCUGGCGGCGUCGCUCAACACACGCAAGUUCGAACGAUGAAGCCUCGCUUCGCUAGGCGGAUCAUCGGCGAAACGGGUCGAGUAAUACGUCGAGUCGACUCUACCUUUGACUCCGGGAUAAGCCUGGGAAAACUGGGUCUAAUACCGGAUACGACCAAUCUCCGCAUGGGGUGUUGGUGGAAAGCGUUAUGGAGUCGGUUUUAGAUGGGCUCACGGCCUAUCAGCUUGUUGGUGAGGUAAUGGCUUACCAAGGCGACGACGGGUAGCCGGCCUGAGAGGGUGACCGGCCACACUGGGACUGAGACACGGCCCAGACUCCUACGGGAGGCAGCAGUGGGGAAUAUUGCACAAUGGGCGCAAGCCUGAUGCAGCGACGCCGCGUGAGGGAUGACGGCCUUCGGGUUUGUAAACCUCUGUUAGCAUCGAAGAAGCGAAAGUGACGGUAGGUGCAGAGAAAGCGCCGGCUAACUACGUGCCAGCAGCCGCGGUAAUACGUAGGGCGCGAGCGUUGUCCGGAAUUAUUGGGCGUAAAGAGCUUGUAGGCGGUUGGUCGCGUCUGCUGUGAAAGGCUGGGGCUUAACCCUGGUUUUGCAGUGGGUACGGGCUAACUAGAGUGCAGUAGGGGAGACUGGAAUUCCUGGUGUAGCGGUGGAAUGCGCAGAUAUCAGGAGGAACACCGAUGGCGAAGGCAGGUCUCUGGGCUGUAACUGACGCUGAGAAGCGAAAGCAUGGGGAGCGAACAGGAUUAGAUACCCUGGUAGUCCAUGCCGUAAACGUUGGGCACUAGGUGUGGGGGACAUUCCACGUUUUCCGCGCCGUAGCUAACGCAUUAAGUGCCCCGCCUGGGGAGUACGGCCGCAAGGCUAAAACUCAAAGAAAUUGACGGGGGCCCGCACAAGCGGCGGAGCAUGCGGAUUAAUUCGAUGCAACGCGAAGAACCUUACCAAGGCUUGACAUAUACUGGACUGCGUCAGAGAUGGCGUUUCCCUUCGGGGCUGGUAUACAGGUGGUGCAUGGUUGUCGUCAGCUCGUGUCGUGAGAUGUUGGGUUAAGUCCCGCAACGAGCGCAACCCUCGUUCUAUGUUGCCAGCACGUGAUGGUGGGGACUCAUAGGAGACUGCCGGGGUCAACUCGGAGGAAGGUGGGGAUGACGUCAAAUCAUCAUGCCCCUUAUGUCUUGGGCUUCACGCAUGCUACAAUGGCCGGUACAGAGGGUUGCGAUACUGUGAGGUGGAGCUAAUCCCUAAAAGCCGGUCUCAGUUCGGAUUGGGGUCUGCAACUCGACCCCAUGAAGUCGGAGUCGCUAGUAAUCGCAGAAUCAGCAACGCUGCGGUGAAAUACGUUCCCGGGCCUCGUACCCACCGCCCGUCA